rnacentral:rRNA from 1 species
UAGUGAGGUCUCCGGAUCGGCUUCGGGGAGCCGGCGACGGCACCCUGUCGCUGAGAAGCUGAUCAAACUUGGUCGUUUAGAGGAAGUAAAAGUCGUAACAAGGUUUCCGUAGGUGAACCUGCGGAAGGAUCAUUAAUGANAAUUAUAAUCCGGCGAGGGAAAGNNNGCGGGGAGUUGUAGCUGGCCCUAGGGCAUGUGCACGCUCUCUUCUGGACUUUCGCCGUAUGGGCGCGGGGCGACCCGCGUCUUCAUAUACCUCUUCGUGUAGAAAGUCUUUGAAUGUUAUCAUCAUCAUCGAGUCGCGACUUCUAGGAGACGCGAUUCUUUGAGACAAAAGUUAUUACAACUUUCAGCAACGGAUCUCUUGGCUCUCGCAUCGAUGAAGAACGCAGCGAAUCGCGAUAUGUAAUGUGAAUUGCAGAUCUACAGUGAAUCAUCGAAUCUUUGAACGCACCUUGCGCUCCUCGGUGUUCCGAGGAGCAUGCCUGUUUGAGUGUCAGUAAAUUCUCAACCCCUCUCGAUUUGCUUCGAAAGGGUGCUUGGAUGUUGGGGGCUGCCGGAGACACUGGACUCGUCCAGGACUCGGGCUCCUCUUAAAUGAAUCGGCUUGCGGUCGACUUUCGACUUUGCAUGACAAGGCCUUUGGCGUGAUAAUGAUCGCCGUUCGCCGAAGUGCAAGACAGAACGGUCCCGUGCCUCUAAUGCGUCGACGCCUCUCGGGGCCGUCUUCCUCAUUGACGUUUGACCUCAAAUCAGGUAGGACUACCCGCUGAACUUAAGCAUAUCAAUAAGCGGAGGAAAAGAAACUAACAAGGAUUCCCCUAGUAACUGCGAGUGAACCGGGAAAAGCUCAAAUUUUGAAUCUGGCGGUCUUCANGCCGUCCGAGUUGUAAUCUAGAGAAGCGUCUUCCGCGCUGGACCGUGUAU